GGAAGUGGAAAGGGCACUGGUGGCUCUCCCGGACUUCAAAUCCGGUGUGUCGAGUGAGUAACUCGGCAGGUGGGUUCGAUUCCCAUGCACUUCCGCCA
rnacentral:tRNA from 1 species